rnacentral:lncRNA from 1 species
CACAAAGUAUGACUGCUUCUGCUCUGAAAGUUUAAAAGGCAUCUCUCUAGUUGGUCUUCGAGAUGCAGUUCGAUAGGCCUAGUGAUGCGGGACAAUCCUAAAAAAAAAAUCAAUCCUAAUAAUCAAGCUCUCUUCUGUUCAUCAACAACAAAUCACGUCUGGCCAGGGGCUCAUUAUUCUCAGGACAGACAGUAUAGUUGCCUAUACUCUGCUCAGGAGGCGUGAUUGAUUGAUACGAGACUAAAGCGAGAUCAAUCUAAAUGAUACAGAUGAAUGCCANNNN